GAUGAACGCUGGCGGCGUGCCUAAUACAUGCAAGUCGAGCGAACAGACGAGGAGCUUGCUCCUCUGACGUUAGCGGCGGACGGGUGAGUAACACGUGGAUAACCUACCUAUAAGACUGGGAUAACUUCGGGAAACCGGAGCUAAUACCGGAUAAUAUAUUGAACCGCAUGGUUCAAUAGUGAAAGACGGUUUUGCUGUCACUUAUAGAUGGAUCCGCGCCGCAUUAGCUAGUUGGUAAGGUAACGGCGUACCAAGGCGACGAUGCGUAGCCGACCUGGGAGGGUGAGCGGCCACACUGGAACUGAGACACGGUCCAGACUCCUACGGGAGGCAGCAGUAGGGAAUCUUCCGCAAUGGGCGAAAGCCUGACGGAGCAACGCCGCGUGAGUGAUGAAGGUCUUCGGAUCGUAAAACUCUGUUAUUAGGGAAGAACAAAUGUGUAAGUAACUAUGCACGUCUUGACGGUACCUAAUCAGAAAGCCACGGCUAACUACGUG
rnacentral:rRNA from 1 species